GACGAACGCUGGCGGCGUGCUUAACACAUGCAAGUCGAACGGAAAGGCCCUGCUUGCAGGGUGCUCGAGUGGCGAACGGGUGAGUAACACGUGGGUGAUCUGCCCCUUACUUUGGGAUAAGCCUGGGAAACUGGGUCUAAUACUGGAUAGGACCAUGCUGUAGGUGGUGUGGUGGAAAGAUUAUUUUCGGUAAGGGAUGAGCUCGCGGCCUAUCAGCUUGUUGGUGGGGUAAUGGCCUACCAAGGCGUCGACGGGUAGCCGGCCUGAGAGGGUGGACGGCCACAUUGGGACUGCGAUACGGCGCAGACUACUACGGGAGGCAGCAGUGGGGAAUAUUGCACAAUGGGCGGAGGCCUGAUGCAGCGACGCCGCGUGGGGGGUGACGGCCUUCGGGUUGUAAUCUCCUUUCAGCCAUGACGAAGCCCUUGUGGUGACGGUAGUGGUAGAAGAAGCACCGGCUAACUACGUG
rnacentral:rRNA from 1 species